rnacentral:rRNA from 1 species
GAGGAAUAUUGCGCAAUGGGGGCAACCCUGACGCAGCAACGCCGCGUGAGUGAGGAAGGUUUUCGGACCGUAAAGCUCUGUCGAGCGGGAAGAAAUGCAUGGUGGCUAAUAUCCAUCAUGCUUGACGGUACCGCUAAAGGAAGCACCGGCUAACUCCGUGCCAGCAGCCGCGGUAAUACGGGGGGUGCGAGCGUUGUUCGGAAUUAUUGGGCGUAAAGAGCGUGUAGGCGGCCGAAUAAGUCAGAUGUGAAAUCCCUGGGCUUAACCCAGGACGUGCAUUUGAAACUAUUCGGCUAGAGUAGGGGAGAGGAAAGUGGAAUUCCUGGUGUAGAGGUGAAAUUCGUAGAUAUCAGGAGGAACACCGGUGGCGAAGGCGACUUUCUGGCCCUAUACUGACGCUGAGACGCGAGAGCGUGGGUAGCAAAC